AUUCUGAAAUAAGAAAGGACUAUCAAUAAGAAUAGUAGUUACUAUAUAAUUUUAAUUUUACUAGUUGGUGAAAGUCCAGAAAACUUUAAUGAGCUAGCAACAUGUCUUUUAUUUCUUCACCAGAAUUGUUGGCACCUGGAUGGUAAAUCUUCAAGUUACUAUGAAAGAAGAUCACAAACCAAAAAGUAACAUAGGAAAUACUAAAGACUGGAACAUUUUAUCAGAUUUUACUCGGUUUCAUAUACAGAAAGCUAUAGGAAGCCUGCAUGGAGGUUACCGGGGGAUUGAGGAUGGGGAGGAACUCAAGACUACAAAGGAAAUGAAGC
rnacentral:lncRNA from 1 species